UUAAAAACUAAGAAAAAGAAGAGUAGUAUAGAGGAAGGUUACAGAAAGAAAAGGAAGAUGAGAACUUUUUACCUGCAAUUUAUAUGAAGUGCACUUUGGAGUUGAAGUUUGAAAUAUAGUAGAACUUUCCGGUAUCAUCCGUUAUAAUGAUGAUGCAUUAUUUGCAUUUAUGAGUGAGAUUAAUUUAUUAAUCUAAUUAGAGUGGAACCACGGAGCUAACUUCGUCUCUAUA
rnacentral:ncRNA from 1 species